rnacentral:lncRNA from 1 species
CUUUGCGACGCCUCUCUGCCCGCGCGUCUACGGAGCUGUCGCAAAGUGAGGGCGCCGGCCGCCAAGCGCGGAAGCCUGGCAGGGAAGAAGGCGGACCCGCGUGGCGCUGGCAGCAUGGGGGACGCGCUGGACGAGCCGUGGUGGGAGGCGGCGGCGGGGGAAGGCAGCGGCUCAGGUAUGCCGCGCUCGGAGCGGGCUCUGAGCCCUCCUUCCCCUGUCCGCCGGCUUCCCCGUUCCCUCUUGCCCCCUCCCGCUCCCAGCUUUUCACGUCCCGCUUCACGUUUUCCUCUUUCUCUCUCCACCCGCCAGAAACACGCUUUACGAGAGUUUAAAAGCAGAGGGGAGGGAAGGGGGGGAUGGGGGAAGGCAGCACGCUCUGAGCUCGGAGGGCGGCUGCCCCUGAGGGUACAUAGCCUUAUAAAUUGCUGCGUUCCGAACUGGGCUUAGCUGAUCUUAGAACCGCAGAGUAUCCCGAGCUGGGAGGGACUCACAGGGAUCACCGAGUCCACCUCGUGGCCCUACGAAGGAGCACCCCAAAUCCGAGCCCUGCGUCUCAGUGCCGUGUCCAGACGCCCCUUGAAUUCCUGCAGCUCGGGGCCUUGGUGAAAGGAUGUCGCUUAAUGCGGGCUGAUGACCGUUAUCUUGAGCGCAUUUAUGGUUCUGUAAGGCCUUGGGGAUCCUAAACCCAAAGAAGAGCCUUUGGAGGGAGAAGUACCCGUGUGGUACGUGAGUGCACCACCUGUGUGCUCAGCGGGUGGUGAUGGGCUGUGAAAGGACGGGAGCUGAAUGGCUUCUCCUUUCCAGCCGCUGCUCUUUGAGCAGGUCAUUUGUCUCUCUUCCCAGUGAUGAUGAUAGCUGGCUCUUAUACCCGGUGUCUUACGGUAGAAUCACAGAGUGGUUUGGGUUGGAAGGGACCUGAAGUAUCAGUAGUUCCAACCCGUGCUGUGGGUAGGGCUGCCCCCCACCAGCUCAGGCAGACGGUUUCCUUUGAAAAGGCACUGGGAGAAUCUAUUGAGAAAAAUUGUACAUACAUAUUGUAAGGAGGGGGUCACAAGCUUUAAUGAGGCUGCUGAACAUUUCAUUUUAAUUCUCAGUCUCAUCGGUGUUCUACUAGCACUUCCUAUUCCCAUGGCAAAUGCUCUUCAUAAGGUAUUUAGGACCCCUUAAGCCUCUGUGCUCAUCCUGCCAACUAGAGGUUACCUUUAUGGUGGCUGGUAAACUGCUUUUUAUUUCAUAUUGGCAGCUUUCCUUUAGAAACUCAGUACAUUUCAGGAAAAUGUUUAUUCACUUGGAUGAUACAUUUUUGGUAUGAUGGAUAAAUCGUCUGACUUUGAGCUGAGAAUCCCAACUCUCAGUUACACACAACUCCUCCGGAUUUUUGUGAUUGUAAGGUUGCUAAGGUGUCUAAUCCAGCCCUGUGCUAAAAAAAAACCUACAUGUAGUGAACUCCAAAAGUACUAUAUGAAUGUUUUACUACUUACAUUGCAGGUGAAUGUUGUGCGCGCCGCAUAUGCGUUCUGAUCUCCGGAUUCCACCUUUGCAAACUUGUUGACAGGUUCUUUAUGCGGAACCUGCUGUUCUAUUAUGUUGACACAAUCAGUUAAGUAGGAAGAAGGUCCAUACAUUUUUAUUGUGUGUUGCUGCUCCUCACGUACAGCAGAUGUAAAAUCAAUUGUUAAUUUGUACCACAUCUUGUGGACACUAAAGUGCUUUAAGAUCAAGUGGCAAGAAAUAAGGAGUCAGAGUUUACAAUGUGCGCUGUAAGCAAAAAUACAAGAAUAUAAUUUCCCACUGGAGCUUUCGACAGGUUUGAUGUUUAUUUCUGUGAAACACAUAGUUUGUUUAAAAAAAACUAUCCAACUUUAAUCGCUGACCUAUUUUGAAAAGCAUCUCUGCCACAAUGAUGGGUAGAAAGCAGGAAGAAAAUAAAAUAUACUCUUUAAAUACCUACUUUGUGCCAAGUCCCUUACAACUAACCCUAGAAUAAAAACUGACCAAUGAAAUAGUCAUCCUAAUAUCUCAGCCCUCCUAAGUGUCUUCCAUUUUAGCAACUUGUACUCGGAAGACACUACUUCUAAGAAGUGGUGUAUGAAAAGUGUUCGGACUCUCUCAAAGGGGAUGAAAGUAGGGAACACAUGUCCUAAUAGAUGGAUGUAUGAGUAAUUCCUAAUCUGAUUUUGACCACAUCAUUAGGAACCAUUAGUUUAGAGUCUGUGUUAACAGUUGAAGGUAGUUACUCUCACUUUUGGGACAUGAAUGUUUGCAUGAAGGGAUUAGCCAUCUAUUUACCUUGCCACGUGACACAAACUAAAGUAUCUUUGCCCAGUAACUUCUUCAGCAUACUUUUUGCUGUCAGAGAUGUGAAGAGAGAGGGUGGUUGGGGAUGUUUGGCUAUUUCUUAGUUUUGCUUAGUGUUACACGUGUCCCGAGUCAUAUAACUUCAGGGCUUCCUUCUUUCCAUUUUACCAGUCUAUGCCACAACUAUGUGCAGUACUGAAUACCAUUUUUGUGUUGUACUCAGAGCUAGAAGGAGAGAUUAAGGAAUACUGAGGAGUUUGUUUAGUGCUGGUGCAAGAUGCCAGCAGUUUCCUUUUCUCUUCAUGAGCAGAAAGAGAACUUCAGACAGAUUACAAUGUCUCUCUUGCCUGCUAUGGGUGUGCUGCAUCUCCAGGCAGGCUGAGGGAGGGGGACAGGCUUCUGUUUUCCAGGAAUUCUUCCAGUUACCUCUUUUUCUGUUACCACUCCUUGCCUUUCAUUCUCUGUGCUUUCCUUGUCUUCCUUUAUCCCGUAAGACUGUAGUAUCUGUCCUUGUCAGUUCUUUUACAUUCUUAAGGAAAAAGCUGUGUGGAUCACGUCCCUUAUAAGUUGAAAUGAAUUGUGUCAUCCCGAGUCAGAGCAAAAGACAGGGAAACUCUUUUACGCCAGCAGUAAAAACAGGUAUGAAGUAUAAUAUUGUACUGUGGAUGAUGAUGACAGCACUUGUGGGGUCGUUUGUGUGCUCUAAAGCAAAGGAUGUUGUUGUGGGAAUUCAUUUUUUUUGCCCAUAUGUUUUUAUUUUCUGUUAGUAGGCUGGUAAUAAAGGGUGCCAGAUAGCAUCAGUUUGUUAUGUGGGCUUUGCAGCUGGUGAGAAGUGGACUGUUCAUUGUAGGUCUUUUGAGAAUUCUCUUGCAUGAUCAGAGCUGGGAUCUGCUGGUGAGCAGACCUGUGUAUGGAGAGUCUUCUCUCUUUCCUUUGGCUCAUCCUUCAGCUGCUGUCCCUUCUGAUGAAAGCUGUUAUUGUGCUGAUGCUCCUUUUCACGUCCAUCUGAUGAGGGUGCCAGGCUGACAGCUGCUUUUUGGAAAUCAUUUCACUUUGCAUCACGCACGCUUGUUCCACAUCUUGCAGAACAUAUCACGGGGUGCUUCUGUGAGCUUUAUUUGGACCACAGCAAAUGUCACGUGUAGCUUCAGAAUUUUAUUGUUAACUGUAGAUUUAGUGAAUUAACUUGGAGAGCUUCUCUUUUUAGUGUAGAAGAGUCUUUUCUUGAUUUCAGUUCUUUGCCAAAAUGUGUCUUGUAAGGCACAUGCUGAAAUAAGGUUUUGGUAGGCCGAUCUUUUGAAGCCUUCACUUUUUUAACUACCCAUAGAGAAUUUCUUGUGAGGCUGUUGAGGGAGGCAUAGGUUUCUGUUGUGGGUUUGCAAAAAUAGUCCCGCAGGAGUGCUAAUGUGUUGUACUGGCUCAGUGGCUAAGUUAAACAUUUAGCUGUGAAAUAAAAGGGAAACAAAUUGGGUAACCGAACGCAUCAAAAUCUCUCUUUGCUUCAGCAAAACGGUCCCAAUUCUGGCUGUGAUGUUGCGAUCACCACCAGCUUUUGCUUUAUUUAGGAAUUAGGAUUUGGCAGUUCUUAAAGAAAGACCUAUGUGAAAGGAGCUUUCCCACAAAUUAUCAGUUGAGCCAUUUAGACUGUUGGAAUGCACUCUGUUAGGGGAAGAAGAAUGAGGGAGACAUUAAUACCAGGGAAACAAAUGAAGUUUUAUAUUCUAAAACAGUAACUCGGGUUAGUUGGUGUUAUGGAAUUCCUGCGGGAGAGUUACUUGCAUUAAUAGUAUCUUGUUAGUUUUAUCUUUCUACAGUAAAACAGUCAUGAAUCUUCUUGUUAGAACAGCAAUUGCUACUUUGCAGAUAACUAAAAACUAAGAACAAAUGUGGAGCCUCUUCUAGCGUUUGAUUUCUUUUGUUUGUCUUGGCUGGAAGGAAAUUUGAGUGAUUUUUAAGUGUUUAAAAGAGGAUGUACUUUAAGGAAAAAAAACCAAACAGGAAAAUGGCAAAUUCUCCCAUGGGUGAGCAAGAACUACUUGUGCAAAGAAUUGAUUUGGUUAAAAAAAAAAACUUCACUAGAAGAUACGACUGCAACUCUCCAUUUUCCAUGAUAGUGGGCAAUUGAAAGGGAGGGGCAGAAUUGCAGAGGACUGAAAUAACACUUCUUAAAGUCACAAAUAUUGUUAUACUUGACACAAAUUUUGAUCAGUUCCAAUGCAUGCUGUUUAAGUGAACUGAAAUCUAAGUACUGUAGUCCAAAUAAAAGGAUGACAGUUAAGAUAACUAAUACAAGCAAUGUCAAUCUCAAUUUUGCAACUGUUUUCUAACGGUAACAUCUGCAUAAAUGCAAGUGGGGUGAAUCAACUCACUGACAAGAGAAUUGUUUGUCUUCAGGUUACGUUUCUAAAGUGAUGUUUGGCACAGCAAGAACUUGAAACUUCUGGAAGCUCUAAGCAUUACAGAAGAGUCAUUUUUUUCCAUCCCUCUCUUCAUUUUGUCUUUGCUAGCUAACAUAAAACACCAAGAUUGAAACACUUGUUUACUAGACUGACUGAAAACGAAACAUUCCCUCGUUCAACCCUGUUUCAUGCAGUUUAUUGCAUAAAUCUGUUGAGACAACAUUGGUGUUGUUGUUUGUGAAAUGUGUCAAAACUGAUUUGUAUCUCAUUUGUUUCUCCACUGUGAGUGACAAAUUCUGAAAUUACACCAGAAAAAUGAGAGCAGACCUUGGUACCUACGGACACACAGUUACCCGUGUCUCUUAAAAAUCUGACGUUCUCUUGCUGUCCUGUAGUUGGUGACCAUUAACCUGCCGACCAUGCGGGUGGUUUCAGACUGCUCCCCAAUGGAAGUAAAGGUUCAAUUGCUUAAACCCAUGUCACAAAUCAUAGAAAAUGAUUUACCUUCUCCCUCCACUGUGAAGACAGGUUUUAGACACAGUCCUUAUAAUAUGUAGCUUUCCAGAACUGCUGUCUUGAAGUGUCUUGUUGAGAUGUCCAGCAGGAAUUCUGACAGGUAGUUUAGUUGCAUUUGUUGGCUUUGGUUUGGGGAUCCGAGUUGGAACUGAUUGACGGAACGCAUCAGUAAUCUUGAAAUAAACAGACAAACAAAAGGUCAUGUUAGGAGGAGAGGUUGGUUAUAUGUUUAGCACUGUACUGUUCUUUUCCACUUCAUAUAAUUGAACAUGUUGCUCUCGCUUAGAACUGUCUGCCUGAGUUUCCUUACCCUCAUUGAUAAUGAGAGUGUAACACUGAAUAUAACUCACCUGCUUGAUUGAUAAAUACCAAAGAAUCCAAAUGGUUGGAAAUUCUCUCCCUAUUAAUAGUUUUUCUGUCAGCUCUCUGAAUAGGACAGCAGCCAUUUGGGCUAAGUGAUGGCAUGGCAUUCAAAGGCUGCGAACUCUGACUUCUCUGGGUGAGUAAUCAGAGAAUUUCCAUGAGCAGAAGCAAGACAUGAUUGAGUCCUGAGUAGCAGAAAAGACUUAGCUCGGAUUUUUACUGUGAGAAACCCCUUCUUUGAAAGUGACCACAGUGUACACAAAGUGAAUAUAUUUGUAGGAGAGAACUCUCUCUCCAGAAUCAAUUAUAUUUAAUUAAGAAGAAUUAACUAGAUAAAAGUAAAAAUAAUCACAAUGAGCACCAAAGACAAGUAAAGACCUAUAAAGGCAAGGAGAUUGUUUAAAAGAUGCCAUAUCAGAAACUUGGAUUAAACAUGCGCUAAGCCUUCAUGAAGGAUUUUUACAUCACAAGGUUUUUAUACAUAUCCUUUGUAGUUAAACAGCAGCAUAAAAUAAAUUCACUGAGGAUUUAAAAAAGAACAAGCAGAAGAAGUCCCUACCAAACAUAUGGAAUGGAAAUGUUCAAAAGAGGACAAUAGAAAACAGCAUAGAAACUUUAGUCCAAUGAAGUAUGAGUGAGAAUGAGCUGAACCAAAACGAGUUUUGAAAAACAACUUCUGGUAUCUAAAAAAGUAUACCUGGAAUAAAUACUUUUGGGGUGCAUCAUUUUAAGAGCCUACGACUUGGUUGCAGACAACUGUACAUGAUAUGACUUCUCAGGAGGAUAAAGCAGUAGUGGAAAAGUCAACAUUAAACUUUUGCAUGUAUUUGUUCAGUAUGGAGAAACUUGGGGAAAGUUUGCACUUCAUACAUUUGCUUAGUGGAUCAUGAAUAAGGGAAAAUAGAUUCAUAGACCCAUUAAGGUUGGAAAAGACCUUUAAGAUCAUUUAAGAUCCUUUAAGUCCAACCUUCAACCCUUCCCCACCAUGCCCACUAACCGUGUCCUUCAGUGCCACAUCUACACGACUCUUUGACACCUCCAGGGACGGUGACUCCACCAGUUCCCUUGGGCAGCCUAUGCCAAUGCCUCACCACUCUUUCUGACAUUUUUCCUAACGUCCAACCUGAUAUCCAACCUCAAUAGGGAACUAGAAUUCUGAGGUCUGAACCAGUCAGAAUUGGUUUGAACUAGCUCAGAAUUGGGUAUAAAAGAAUACAGAGGAAGAUAGCAAGGAUGAUCGGUUAUGGAAUGUCUUCUGUGUAAAGAGUGAUAACGUACACUGAAACUUACAUUUAGAGAAUAGGUUGAAGAGAGAAAAAACAACACAAAAUUCUAGCAUUAUUUCUAGUCCAUGGAUAGUGAACAAUGGAAUUUGCUCUUUCAAAUGGCGUACUUGAGAGGGCAUACACAGAAGAUAUCAAAAGACAGGUGAAAGAUAAGGAAGUGUCUUCCCUUGCUAAUGAACAAGAACACAUUGGCACAGGCAGGUAAAAUGAUUACAUAACUUUCUUUGGAGAGAGAUUAGAUUGAUUCAUGAAGUCCAUCAAGGACUGCUGAACAUAAAGAUGUGAUGCAGGUUUCAGCUGAGAAGAGCCUUAAGUUGUAGACUGCUAGAAGCUGGACAUGUCGCUCUGCUUACUUGAUACAUAAGCUUUUUUUGGUAAGCAUUUACUGCUGGUCACUGCUGACAUUGAGAUACAUGGAUGCUAGGUCUAACUGUGUGACUUGUUUUAUAUUUUUAUUUUUGAAAUUAGGAAUUAUUAUUUUGUAGCUUUUAUUUAUACGCUGAGAAGGAAAAGUGUUUGGCCUUGAAAAUGAAGAAGAUAAAAGGAGGUGUUUUUCUUUGCUUUGUGGUCUUUGAAAGAUUUUACCUCUGGGUGGCAGCAAAGUUUGUGGUUUGGGUUGCAUCAUUAUUUUACUAUAGCUGAACUGAAACUUUUAAUUAAAUGCUGAAUUAAAAAAGGACAUGCAUUUGAAAAAUAAUUCUCAAUUUUAUCACUCAGAUUGUUAUCACAAAAGGGAAAAAACACUAUCUUUUUUUCCCAUGCGAAUGAAUUAUACCAAUGUUAAGUGUCUACGUUAGGAUAACUAAACAUGCACUUCUGCAAUUUGACUGUAUUUGACUAUAUUGCAGUGAUUUCUGUUAUAGGCAGGAAUCUAACAAACUAUCCAACUAGCUCUCUCCCUCCUCUUUCAUCUCUUAAAAACUGUGGUUUCUUCAUCAUUCCUAAUACAAAUUACAGAGUGAAAAGGGUGAAUAACUUUAAGUCAAACACUUAGGCUGAUAUUUAAGCUUUUGACUCUUAUUAUGUGUAUAGCUAGAUCAGUGACUAAACUUUAUUUUUUUUUAACUUUCUACUUGACAUAAUGACUCUGCUAUGAGUUGCAAGAAGACUAUUUUGGGGCAGUUGACUAGAGAAGUGCUUAAGCUGCUGUGAUUGUACCUGCAAAGAGGGGGUGGCAUUGCGUGGAAUUUGUUUGGAAAGUACUUGGAAACAACUUUAUAUCAAAGACUUCACUUAUUUAAUUGCAUAGUGAAGAUUUUUGAACAAUCCUCUCAGUGCUUUCCCAACUACUUGGUCUAAAGGCAUGCAUUCAGGUACAGUAGAUGUGACAUGCUUGUAUUUUUUUAGGAAGAACCUUAUGACUAAAAAGUUAUAUGAAGAUAUUGGUGGUCUUUUCAGUUUGAUAUUUAGCUCUUAUCUGUUUAUGGGUAGUCUGUGUGCACACCAAGAAUGUCCUCAAACCCUUUCAACCCUUUUUACCAAUUCAUUUCUUCCAUCAAGAGGAAUGGUUUUCUGUCUACCUAAUUCUUCAUUGCUACCCACUUGUUUCCUGAAUUUGCCAGCUCCAUGCUCAUAAUUGGUGUUAAGUUACAGCUCCUGGAGUUCUCAUUUGUAAAACACUUCUUCUAUUUGCUGUCUUUCUAAGUGAUGGAAGAGGAAACAUGACGUUUAUCCUUCAAAAACCAGGCUGAACUGCCUUUUGUACUCCUCUUUUCCACUCUCAUCAGUGCUCUCAAAACACUCCUAGAAAUUAAGUGUUUCCCAGGAACUACCUAGAUGACAUUUUAGCAGUUGUGUGGUUUUCCUUUAUUUCAGUGUCUGUAAAUGCACUUAUGUAAUUGUAGGCAAAUAAUCACAACAACAAUCAAGCAAAGACAUUAAACUAGUCAUGCUUUUGAAAUGAGCAGGUUACAGAGCGUGUCUGUCUGCAAAAGUAACAUUGUUAUAUUAAUUUUAGGUGUUGGAUUCAGAAAGUAUCAAAUAAGUAGUUAAAGCAAUGACCUAAGGUACAAGAAAACUGCUGUUUCAUAAAGAUUAUUUACAUUCUUCAGUUUUAAAUUGACUUCUACUGUAGAUGUCAAUCACCUGAAGUAGGAACAGGCAAGAGAAAGGGUAUUACCCUGAGAACUGGUAUGGGCUGCAGGUGUUUGUUAUCCCACAGUGGAUGGCAGUGGGUACUUCAGAGGUUGGAACAAACAGUUCACAGGCGACAGCUGUAAGAUUUUCACACGCAACUGUGAAAAUGCCCCUUUGUAAUUUCAGGAAGUUGGCCGUGAAGGUUUGCUCUGACAUACGAGGAUUUAGAUUCCACGUACCCAUCAUUCUUUCCCAAGGGCACAGGGGCAGCCUAUCGGUUACAGACAUGGGCCGUCAGGCGUUCUGUUACAAUGCAGUGCUGGUUUUCUGGGGAGGGGGCUAAGGCAGGUGUGCGUGUGGGUGUGUGGGUGUCAGGGAGGGCAAAUACACCUGUUUACGUGCUGCUCAAGUAGUUCUGCCUUUGGUCCUAAUCUCAUUUUGCUCUGGAAGUGAGGUGCAUGCUUUGCUUUCUGUUUGAACUGUAUUCGUUUGAAUAGAAGGGAGCACAUCGCACUUCUGCUGUAGGUUUUCUCGCUUAUCUUUCUAGUGUGAUUGUAGAACUUUAUCUAGGAGAAAUAACUUCAGAUCCGGUUCUCUCUCACUCCUUAAUUUUUUUAGUUUAAGAAAUUUGAGCAGUAGAAAGAAUCGUAUGCAGCUUAAAUGGAAGCAGCCAGGGGAUGGCCAGGGCUGAAAAGCCCUUACACAGAAACCCAGAUGUCUGCACGUGCAGGAGCGUGCUGCUUGCCAGACUGCAGCUUGUUCCUGGAUGACGGAAUGCAGUCAGAACCUAAGCCAGGUCUGCAAGUGAGGAUGAGUUAAGAUUGAGUGGCAAAACUAAAUAUUCCCUUUGGUGUCCAUGCAAGAUGUUUUAGGCUGAAAUUUUCAGUUGGGCCCCUUGAGCUGCACAGGGCAUUGGAAUAUCUCCUUUUCUUUCACUGUGUCCUGGCAUCUGUCUUCUAGGAAUCCGGUGGGGAAUUUCUCAAUUGCUCUGUAUUUCCUUUUAGGCAACUGGUUUGUGUGCAUGAUAUUCAGAUGUGUAAGAAGGAGCGGGAUCAGUAGUCCUUAUUAAUGUUGGUGAGACCUCAGCCAGAGUACUGUCUGGCUUUGGGCACUGCAUUUUCGGAAACAUAUACACCAUUAUAAAUAGCUGUGCAGCGGGGAAAUAAUUACUGAUCUGUAUAGCUGGAGUACUUGAGCUAUUAGAUAGGAAAGUGAUUGGGUUUGUUUAACCUGGAGAAAACAGAAGUGAAGAAAGAUAUGUUAAUUGCUUUCUAAUACAUGAAAGGCUGCUGCUGAGAAAGUAGUUCUCCAGUUCCAGUGGGAGCAUAGGAAACAAAAACUGGAUAUCAAUUUCAGCACAGGGAAUUCAGUUUACAAAUUAGCAGGAUUUAUAGUGGCAAGAAAGCUGCAGCCCUGUUACAGAUUCCUGGGGUAAGUGAGAAAUUAUCAUUGCAGGGGUUUUAGAACAGGAGGAGCCCGGCAUUUGGAAGGGCUUAGGUCAAAGUGUAAUAGGAAGGUGGGCAGAAAAAUGUCCCGAGGUCCCUUCUGUGCUCAGUUUUCUAUCAUUUCUACUGUUUUGCUGAUAGUAGGCCUAUUACAGUACCUGUGAUUUCAGCAAAACGAAGUUUUUGACAGAGAAUUAUAUUAAAAUUAGAAAUAACUUCCAUAUAUGUGAUGAAUUGCACUCGUGUGCCACCAGGGUGUUGUUUGCUGAUCAACCAAGCUUACAUCUACUUUCUGAUGGUGGAGAAAAGAAAAAGUGUUGGACAGAGUUGGGGACAAGAAUUGAAUUCCUAAUUACUAAAGUUCUGCCAUGUGCCUUGUUCUUUUGGGAUAUCUUCACUGGGAAAUGCGAUAACCUUGAAAUGUAAGGUAGUUAAAGGCUUGUUUUUUAAUAGGUGACAAGACACAGGGAAAGGUGAGUCUGUGUUGAGGGUCCUUUCUCCUAGGGGAAGGACUGACGUGGGCCCACAGGGCAGCGCAGCCUGCCCUUUCCUGAGAUGGAAUGCCUCUUGAACUGAGAAGGGCUCUCAGGUGCCCUAUUAGGGCACUGACCAUCCCCAAGAAGAAACUGUGCGUCCUUUUUGGGCUAUGGGGCACCAUGCAAUAUUAAUUCUGUCCAGGGGAGGGCAGUCCCGACACUUCAGUGUUUCUGCUGGUACUUAAAAGUCAGUAUAGUUCUACAAUACAUCGUUUUACAAAUACUUAGGAGAUCAGGAAUUCUCUCUGUUUAAAUCACUGCUGCCAUUCGUGGAGUAGAAGUCUUGACAUUGAGUCUCAUUCCGUAUGGGUGGUGGGCAUCUAAGGAUGUGUUUGUACAUUUGUAAAUACCCACCUCUCAAAGGUGUGUAGAACUGAACUCAUACCUACAGACACUUUUUAACAGGAAAGCAUUCUCAGUAUUAAAAUCAUCCGCUCAAAAGCUCUGAAUCUUUUCUCAUAUAAGUUAUUAUAUAUGUCGAAGCAGUUUACAGAGGUAACCAGGUUGUGUCCGAGGAUACUCUGCAUGGAGGAGGAAAAAGAACCCUGUGCUUUUAUCAUCAGGGCCUUUCUUCUGUUUGGGAGAAGGCUGCUUUCCUCUGUGAGGGUCACGUUUAAUGGAUAAUGUUAAUGAGAGUCCCAUUUUUACAUACAGACAUAUAUUUUACGAUGCAGUGAAUAUAUGUGUAAUUAUAUAAUUAAACUAGCUAUAUAUUUCAAACAGAUGCAUAUAUUUAAUUAUAUAAUUAUUUUAUAUUAUAUGCUAAUUACAUUGGUUAUGAUGAUAUGCAUUUAAUUAUAUGAUUAGUAUGUCUAAUCACAAAUCUUUCUCUCUAUAUAUUACACUUGUACAAAAAACUCUACAUUUGUCCCCAUUUGUUGAUGUUUCUGUGGGAUAAAACACCACCUAUAAAGGCUUCAGUGUGAGACAGUCAAAGAUGAGAAAUUCUGGAUUUUAGUCAUGACUGGAGCUGCUUUUCUAUGCUUGUACACAAGUCAGUUAACUUCUCCCCUAUUUUUUUCUCCUCUCAGCUGUAAAGUGAGAGUCAUUUCUUAGCACCCCAGAAGGCUGUUAGUAGGACUGCUGAAUGGUGGUUGUACAUUUGGAGUGCUUUGUGAUGUAUUUAUGUGCUAGAUUGCAUCUCUACAGACAAUCGUGGUGGUAUCUAAGGAGAUAAGACCAGGCUUUGGCAGCAAUUUCAUUAUAAAGAGGGCUCAUCUUUCAUUGCUUGUCCCAGCAGUUUUGCUGACAUAGCUGCUUGUUUGAGCUGUGCUAUGAAAUUAACCCUUCUGUUUGUUUGUUUGAAUCCAGAUUAGUUUCUUGAUCUGAUUUACAGUGCUACUUCAUGAGCAGUAAUGUCAGCAUAACUGAAUGGACAGUACCCUGUAGUAGAGAUAAGAGGGGAAGUUGCUGCUCUUGCCUAUCCUUGCAUGAAGACCCUGGUAUGUCAGGCCAGUGCCUGUGGAACGGAGAGUCCCUGACUGAAACAGGCUUACCCUGCUGCACUCAAAAUGUGCUUCCCAAGUCUGCUUAUCUUAGUAGUCUGGGGACAAUCAAGUGCAAUUGGAAGCUUUGACAGUUGAGGCUUUCUGGAUGCCCACACAACUGAUGGGACAUUUGAUGAUGGGCUGUCAGAACUUGGUCCCAUCUGGGGGCCACUGGCUGCAGGUUUGUGGAAACACUUCAUUCAUUUUAAACUUUUAAGGAAAGCCUUUUUCUUGAGCAGUUUCCCCCUUAGAUUGCUUGGUGCUAAUUUUGAAAUGUCUUUAUGCACCCACUCAUGCUGCGCCUGAACCAUAAGAUCUUUUUCCUCUUCUGUUUCUUGUUAACAUAAUGUUGGGUAGUCUUCACUUAAGUCUGGAGAUUAGGCAGUUGCCAGUUAGUGUUUUGCCUGUCUCAGUAGCUGUUCCUAGGGACAAAGUCCCAGGGAAAAUGGGUACUCAAUUUCUAUCACCUAACCCUGCAGAAUCCAUUCAGCCUUAAUCAGAAAGUAAUACUUCAUAAUUCUGCUUUAUAUUCUUUUUUCUUUAGUGUGGGAAGUGUGGUUUUUUAAGCCUUUAUGAGAUCCAUACAUAGAGAUCUUUUUUUCUUCUUACAGCCUUCCUUUGGUCCCCAUCAACCAUGUUGAUGUUAUCUACUGUGCUUUGAAUCAAGAAGAUUAUCUGGCUAGUCCUGUAUUUUUUUGUCAAUUAUAUUCAUGAAUUAGCAACUCAAGAGAGGGAUUCUUUUCCUAAACCUGAGAUACCUUCAGUUGAUGGAUGGGCACUCUGCUCUCAGUACCAUUAUUGGCUCUUAGUCUCUUCUUUUUUCUUUUUCCCUCCCUUCCCUCAUCUGUCCUCCCUUUUGUGACGAGAAAUUAGAAAUAUUUCAAAGGAAAUAUUUUAUUGCAUAAACAUAACGACUCAGAAAUGCUGAGGACUGAAAUGUUGGCGCUGCCUUUGCUUGUGUUCCUUUGCUUGCUUACAGAACUAAAACUGAAAAGGGAAAGCGGGCUGAUAACUUCUGCCAUUUCCUUUAUCAUUUAAUUUUUCCUUUCUAUUUCUGAGGACUUAACAUGACAUCCAGUGCAGAGAGCAGAUUUGUAGAUCUGAGAGGAGAUGUAUGCAUGCUGGUUUGGAAAAGGGAUGGGUUAAUGCUAUGAUCUGCUGAAAACUGUUCUUACGCUCCAUUUCAUGGCUUAAUCCCUCAGAUAUAUCCUACUUAGUGGUUUGGGUUUUUUCUUUGCGACUGUAUUUCCCAUUCAUAUUUAUUUAUAUCACCGUUGUAAGUACCUGUCAAAUUUUAGGCUUUUGGGCAAAUACUGAAAACUAAAGUGUCUCAUCUUCCAGUAUUAAAACAGCAGUACUUACCGCUUGGAGUGCAUCUGAGUCCUGGAAAAACUGCUUGGUUGAAAUGUAAUACAAUUAUGCUUGGUGUUUUUGUUCAAAGUGCUUAAAAGGUCAUUUAAUUUUUCCCUUGCUCUGUUUUCUCUUUGCCUGCUAAGCAAGUAGGUGAAUAUUCCCCUUCAGUAAAAAGAAAUCAUCUGAGAUACGGAGUGCUGAUCUGAACAACUUGAAGUAAAUUUGUAAACACUUGCAAUUUCAGUCUCUAAGCUAUGCUUUCUCUUCUUCUGAUGAAAAUAGAGCUAGCUUAUUUUUAUUCAGACAGCUGUGUAAGCUUCUGCUCUCAGCAAGUACAUCCAAGCAAACGUUCUUCUCUGCUAUAUAUUUUGAAACAGAUGUUGGGAAUUUGAAUGGGACGGACAGGUUUCAUUUUGCAAAUAAAAUAAUUAGGCAAAAUAAUAAUUGUAUUUUUCACGUGUUGAAAAUCUAUGACAAAAAUUCCCAUGUAAAGUCAGUUGAGGUCUAUAUGUAGAUUAUUUAAUUAAUGGGGGGAUAUAAGUGUCCCUUAAUCAAGGCAUGUUUUUUAGGAAAUGUAGCAAGUUCAUUUACGUAUAAUAUUGGUACAUCUUAUUUGAGAAUUAAUGGUACUGGGUGACAACUUCUUUGUGUUUUGUUAAUUGGACAAUUACUGGACAAUUGGACAGUUACUGGUAAACCACCACCAGUAGACAUACUGAGACAGGAGCAGAAGUACUGUCCUUGUUUAAUGAUUAAACUCAACUGUUGUGAACUUUGGCCUAGGGUUUGUAUUGAAAACUUAGCCUUAGACUGUGAUGUCCCUAUUCAUAAUAGCUUGGGAACUGUCCAAAGGUCUAAGCAUGCUUGUUGCUAUUAUGUCCUGUUUUGUGUUGUCGUUCAAAGGCAUUGUAAUAGAUGACCAGGUAGUUAAUAAUCAACACAUUUCUGUACAUUUGGAACACGGCUAUAAAGUGAAAUAUUUUUUCCACAAGGUUUUAAAGUCUGAUUGAAGAAAAUGCUAGUGUUUCUGAAGGACAGUUGUUUAUCCUUUAAUUUGUAGAGAAUCUGACAUCCAUUAGUAUGCUGUCAAGUGUGCACUUCAGGCACAGUUACUCAGUACCAUGCUUAUAACAUGCCCCUGCAGAGAUCUUGGGUAUCAAUCAACAGAACAUGCAGUAUUCCAAAUUCUAGACGUGCAGAGAAUGCAUUCUGAAUGGACUGCUUCUGCUUUUUAAUUUUGGAUGAGCCUCGCAGUUAAUAAUGUGUAAGCUGAAUGUAAGAAAGUUACUUGUUUAUAUAAUUGGCACAGUUAUGGUACAUUUAUUAUAAAAAUCAAGUUAUCAUCUUGACUUGCCUGAGUGCUAGCUACUGUCUCGAUCGGUAACUUCUGCUGAAGUUGGUGGGAGCCAACCUGCAGUCUGCUUUGCAGGAUGAGACCAUUCAUUUCUUCUGACCCAGACCUUAAUCAGAUCCCACUUUCGAGUCAGCUAUGAUAAACUGAAACAAAUCUAGUGUGAAGGACCUCUUAUGAAGCCUGAUCGCCUGAUACAGCAGUUCUUGAAGCUAUUCAUGACAUUAAGCUAGACUUAUUCCAUCCUACAUUUUGACCUUAAAUUUUCCACUGCUCAGCUAUAGCAUCAUAGAGUCACAGAAUGGCUUAGGUUGGAAGGGACCUCAAAGAUCAUCAAAGGAUUUCAAAGUACAUUUGCUACAUUGACUUCCAAUCACAAAAUCUGUAACUUAAUAAUUUUUCUUCCUACUGCUGAUUUUACCUAGUAGAAGUGUGUAUGGGUGGUGGGUUUUGCUUUUCAGUAGAAGCUAUUCCUUCAAAUAUCAGCUAUUACCUACAGCUGUAACCAUUUGGGUUCCUGUCCAAUAAAAGUCCCUUUGUUAUGUUAAAGUGUGUGCCAAAGUCCUUUGCUGAAUUAGCUGCUAAAUGAAUUAUACUGCAGAUAUGUUUUUCUUCUUUAAACUCCAGAUAAUGUAAGCAAAAUAAUGAUACGGGUUUAGUGAAGAAAUGAAUAGGAACUUUGUCCUUACAUGCAAACUUCCUUGUCAAUAAGGAGAUUUUAUUUUAAUUUCAAUCCUUCCACCCCCUAAACGUAAGUUACUUAGGCUUCUUUGGAAUAGGAAUUACUUCUUUAGAAUAAGAAGCUGCCUUUCUAAAUUCACAUUUUUUUUCAAGACAGCUUUUGUGAUCUGUGAUCUGAAAGUGAAUUUCAGAUCUUUUGGCUUGAUUCACAUUCAGUAUGAAGCUGAUCUAUUACUUGCAAUAUUUUCUGGGAGGCAACAAUUUGCUGUUUGGCCCACGUGUAAACUGAGGCAGCACUGUUUAAGUUUCUGACCUCUUCUUAGGCGCUAAUACCAUAUCCAUUACUGAAAUAUCUUAACCUGUUUUGUCUGUGCUGUAUGGUACUGCAAUUUACCCUAGUCCUAGAGGCCUGUGUGUUCAGAGAGGUGGUCUAGUGCUACUUCUUAUUGCUUCAGAUGAGCUUCCUCUGUCUAUUAUGUGAAAAAUAUGACGGUGGGCCACAAUCGCUAAUCUUGUUUCUCCUUCAGCGUAUUUAUGUAGCACAUUGGAAUGACAGUGAAGAGCUUAGGUGAAAUUUGAGUGUUGUAUGUGAAUGCAUUCUGAAUUAUCGCUUAGAAAUGCAUUUCUGUUAAUUGUUUUACAGUGUACUUAAGUGAUAGCAAAGUUUUCUGUUGUAUUGGGAAAAAAAAGCAAACAUUUGCCUUAUUGGGAGGGAAUUAUUUUGUAAUGUAAGCACCUGAAUUCAGGUCACUUACAAGAAGGGUUUACAUGAGGAUAUAAAAAGGGAUCUGUAAAAUGAUGGGGAGAAAAAGUGGUUGUCUUGGUCUGGAGCAUAUCAUUUAUGCAUCAUAAAUCUGAUACAAGAUACAAUACAUGUUAUUUUGAUCGUGUGUGUGAUAUAAUGAUAAUUAUCUGAAAUGAGAGAGCUAGGAGGAAUUUGGAAGUAAUGGAAGGUAACACGUUAAGUCUUUUCUGAAGUUAGCAGGCAAUAUUAUGGCUUAAUUCAAAUUCUUCCAUACAUGCAAAAAAAAAUGAAAAAAUAAAAAAAUAAAUACAAACACACACACACACAAAGGAACCAAAAAUGUUCUGCAAGCAAUGAUAAAAAUAAUCAAUUAUUUACUGUUUUUAUAAUGUUAAAAUAUUUCACCAAGGCAAGUCAAAAGUAAUGUGAGUUAUUUUGAAAAUGGAAAUACAUAAAGAUGCAUUUAUACAAGUGCAAGACUAGAUAUUUUACAUAACUGUAUUUCAAUUAGAAGAUAUACAGUAAGUGCACACUUGAUAACACUAAGCAGGCAAAACUUAACGUUAGUUUCGUAUACUGUUGUAAAGUUCAUGCACAGAUCUCUCCCAUAGGAAAAGGGCCGUUCCAAACAAUUCUUGCUGGGAUGAAAAACAGGAUGGGUUGCUGGUAAGGGUGUCAGCAUGGAUGAGGGUCAGUUAUAGACAUUACUUACUGUAAUUUGUGAUUGCCGUGGGAGAGGAGUGGCUGUUGGUGUGAUAGUAAUACUGCUGGUGAUUUUAUUGGUGGGCUUACUGGGUAUUCCAUUAGCUAGUGCUGGAGUUCUGGUAUCUUGCACUGGGGUACAAGGGCUGACGGUCUUGGAAGCGGUGAGAGCUUGGACGUAAGGACUUCCUAAGUGGAUGUGGAUUUUGUUAUCCUCAGUAGUUAUUACACUUGAUCCUGUGCUGUUAGAUCUCUGAAACUGCCAUGACGACUGCCUGUCUGGGGAUACUCUGAAAACGGCAUGCUUGGCUCCCAUUUCCAAAGGCUCCGAGGAGAGCAUUUGUUCCUGAGAACUUGAGCCUGGUAAAGCCAAAGGGGACAUUGUUCUUUCAGGCGUUAAGGAACCACAUGAGUCAGGAGUUUGAGAUCUUGCAAAAGCAGCCACAGUAAUGGGAGAGAUGGCUUGCUCUGGGCUCAUGUAACCUUCUGAUACUUUAGACUUUACAGGCGCGAAGGAGGCAUUUUGAAUAAUAGUUAUUCUUUGUUUGGGAGUGCCACAGUUAGGUAUAACGGCUGUACUUGUAUAGGAGUGAGGACUUUCAGUGGUAGGACUUGUUAUUUCGAGCGUUGCUGUGUUCUGUCCGUGGUCCGGAGUUACUUUUAUGUGCAGAGGUUGGCCAGGUGUAUGGCUUAGCACUAGGUCUCCAGCCUGUGCACAGUUUCCAUUUUGCUUUGCGUGAAUCUUUCCAUUCUGGUGGUGGUUUUCUUUGGACUUCAUCCAAGGGAUCCAUAAUUUCUUGUGCAUGGCAUUCCCAAUGGAUGAGUUGCUUUUGAAAGACACUGAUUGCUCUUCCUCGUUGCUGUCUUUGUCCUCAUUAUCACUGUCUUCAUACAGCUGCCCGUUUAUGACUGCUCGCUCUAAAGGCAUGAGGGUUUUGUAAUCGGGUGGCUCAUUGUCAGCUGGAUCUGUCUGGACUUCUUUAGAAAAAACUUGCAAGUCAGAUAUCCGCCGUCCAUUAACACUGGGUCUGAGGCUCUUACUGAAACGUCUAUACCUCUCUAAUUCUUUCGUGAGACUUUCCAUUUCUCUUGCUAACUCCCUGUUCUUGUUUUCUUGCUGGGUGAGUUUCUUCUGUAAGACUGUAUGAUCACCUCGGAGGUGACAGAUUAGGUCUUCUGUUGCCAUGUAUUCAUGAAUUUUCUCUUUCAGUGCAUCUACUUCUCUGGAGAGGUGACUUGAUUUAGCUUCUUCUUCUUUGAGCUUCUUAAAAAGACGCUGCUCUUGAUUGGACUCUGCCUUUUCUGUUAGUUUAUACCUAGCGACUUCCAUUUUGACAGCCUCCAGCUCCUCUGACAGGAGCUUGGCUUUGUCCCGUUCAUUGACGUACCUUCGUUCUAGAGACUCAAAUUCAUCUUCAGUUUUCAUAAGAUCGUCCUCUAUGGCCUUCAUUUCUUUCAGCUUCUGCUUAAGCCCCUCAACUUCUUGGGAAAGCUCUUUGAUUUUGUUGUUCUCCUGCUGCAGGGAAGUGCUGGAUUUAGUAGUCUCCUUAAGCUUAUUUUUAAGAAAUUCCUUUUCAACAGCUUCCAGUGACUGAAGUCUUUUUCUUAGAAUAUUUACUUUGGAAGCAAGAUCACUUCCUUUCUCCUCUUCUGCUUUGAGUUUGUUUUUCAGUUCAUCUCUUUCUUUUGUGACACUGGACACUUUUUCCUCUGCAUCAGAUUUUGACUUCAGUGCCUUUUUACUUUCCUCAAUCAGUUUUUCUGUAAUGGACAUCACUUUAUUUUUUUCCACCUGGAGCUGAGAAGUUGCAGCUUCCAGCUUUUCUUCUGUUUGCUUUAUUUUUUCACUCAUAGUUUUUCUCUCAUCCACAAGCAUCACUGUUAGAGUCUUCAGCUUUGUUAAAUCUUCUUUAAGCGUGGACUCGGUUUUUUCUAACUUGCUUUCAAUUGCUUCGAGCUCUCCAACUCUAGCUUUUAAGCCUUCCAGCUCAAGGGACAACUGUUUUGUUACCAUUUUUUCUCUUUCUAGGUUGCAUUUCAGGGAGUAGCAUUCCUGUUUGCUUUUGUUGAAAGCAUCCUCUAAUUUCUCCAGCUCCAUAAUUCUUUUGUUGAGUUUGUCAACUUCCCCUUUAAGGUUCUUGCUCUGUGAUGCUUCUUUUUCUAACUUUUUAUUAAGUUCUCUGCACUGGUCUUCCAUUUUUAUGAGCUCUUCGUCUUUUCCUUCCAUCUCCAGCAGUCGUUUCCUUAAUUCCUCCACUUCAGACAUAAGAGUGGAGUUCCCAUAUUCUCCCUUAUUUAUCUUAUCCCUUAGGUCUUGCAGUUCAUCUUCUGCUUUUCUUAAAGAUUUAUUGGUCUCCUCCAGCUCAUCAAUUUGUCGGCUGAGUGCAUUCAGUUUUAACCGGAGCUGACGAUUCUGGCUAUCUUCAUUGGUUAGUUUGGCCAUCAUUGCUUCUUGAUCUUGGGAAACCUUACUGCUUUGGACUUGAAGUUCAGCCUCCAGCCUGCUGGCUUUCUGUUCUUGCUCUUGAGCUUUUGCUUCAGCAAAAGCGAGUUUCUCAUGUGCUUGGUCUGCAGAAGUGGUUAACUCUUGAAUUGUUUGACUCUGUUGAUUCAACUGCUCAGUGAGUCUUUGUUGUUCAUCCACAACCAUUAAAGCAAAGGAUUUCAGUUUAGUCAAUUCUUCCUUCAGUUUAGCUAUUUUCUUGUUGUUUUCCUUCUCUUUUUUUUCUUGAUAUGCUGUUUCUUGUUCAAGAAGCUUUUUCAGUCUGCCGCUCCCGGAGCCGCAAGGGAAGCGCCGGCUACGCGGGGCCGUGCGGGCUGCGCGCCUCCCGCCGCCGCUCCGCCGGCAGCACUGCGGGACGGGCGCCGGGCGGCCCGAGCCUAGGCGGCAUGACGUCAUGGCCGCGCCAUAUAAGGCGCCGCGCCGUGAGCGGGCUCGUGGCGGCGCGGCGCUGCGGGGAGCCG